UAGGUGAUCAAGCUCAAAAACGAUGGGACAGUCUAAGGGCUAUGUGGUCACGUCAACAUAAAAAAUACUAUGAGCAAGGGCGAUCAGGAUCGGGUGCAAGCCAAGACACCCAGGAAUUCCAGUAUUAUGGUGAAAUGUCAUUUCUUGUCCCACAUUAUAGUUCACGGCAAACCAAAUCAAACAUGAAGCGGCCUGCAUCAUGUAUUUCUAAUGAUGAAUCAAGUGGAUCUUAGUUUGUUAUUAACAAACCGUCACCUAUAAUCAUGGACAGUUCAUGUAUAGGUAUUCAAGGCACUGCAGACGUUGAUACUGCACAAUCUGAUACGUACACGUAUGAGAGCAUAUCUUUGAGCAGUGAUGACAGUCUGCUGUCAAUAUCACAACAAUCAUCAUAUGACAA